GGGGAUGUAGCUCAGCUGGGAGAGCGCCUCCCUUGCACGGAGGAGGGCAGGGGUUCGAAUCCCCUCAUCUCCACCA
rnacentral:tRNA from 1 species